GGCCCCAUAGCCUAGCCUGGAGUUUACGGGUAAAUAAGGCGACAGCCUUCUAAGCUGUAGAUCGGGAGUUCGAAUCUCCCUGGGGCCG
rnacentral:tRNA from 1 species